rnacentral:rRNA from 1 species
UACGAAGGGGGCUAGCGUUGCUCGGAAUCACUGGGCGUAAAGCGCACGUAGGCGGCUUGUUAAGUCAGGGGUGAAAUCCUGGAGCUCAACUCCAGAACUGCCUUUGAUACUGAGGAUCUUGAGUUCGGGAGAGGUGAGUGGAACUGCGAGUGUAGAGGUGAAAUUCGUAGAUAUUCGCAAGAACACCAGUGGCGAAGGCGGCUCACUGGCCCGAUACUGACGCUGAGGCACGAAAGCGUGGGGAGCAAACAGGG